GGAGGAAAGUAGGGGAUCGCAAGACCUUGCGCUCUUAGAGCGGCCGAUGUCUGAUUAGCUAGUUGGUGAGGUAAAGGCUUACCAAGGCGACGAUCAGUAGCUGGUCUGAGAGGACGACCAGCCACACUGGGACUGAGACACGGCCCAGACUCCUACGGGAGGCAGCAGUGGGGAAUUUUGGACAAUGGGGGAAACCCUGAUCCAGCCAUGCCGCGUGAGUGAAGAAGGCCUUCGGGUUGUAAAGCUCUUUCAGCCGGAACGAAACGGUCACGGCUAAUAUCCGUGACUAAUGACGGUACCGGAAGAAGAAGCACCGGCUAACUACGUGCCAGCAGCCGCGGUAAUACGUAGGGUGCAAGCGUUAAUCGGAAUUACUGGGCGUAAAGCGUGCGCAGGCGGUUUUGUAAGUCAGAUGUGAAAGCCCCGGGCUUAACCUGGGAACUGCGUUUGAAACUACAAAGCUAG
rnacentral:rRNA from 1 species